UACGGAAGGGGCAAGUGUUGUUCGGAAUCAUUGGGCGUAAAGGGCGCGUAGGUGGUUCUGUAUGUCUACCGUGAAAGCGUACGGCUCAACCGUAUUUUGUCGGUAGAAACUGCAGGACUUGAGGCUGGGAGGGGCUGGUGGAAUUCCCUGUGUAGCGGUGAAAUGCGUAGAGAUGGGGGAGAACACUCGUGGCGAAGGCGGCCAGCUAGACCAGUUCUGACACUGAGGCGCGACAGCGUGGGGAGCAAACAGG
rnacentral:rRNA from 1 species